rnacentral:rRNA from 1 species
UACGUAGGGUGCUAGCGUUGUUCGGAAUCAUUGGGCGUAAAGCGCGUGUAGGUGGUUAAGUAAGUCUUGUGUGAAAUCCCUGGGCUCAACCGAGGAAGUGCAUGGGAAACUACUUAGCUUGAAGAUGGCAGAGGAAGGUGGAAUUCCUAGUGUAGAGGUGAAAUUCGUAGAUAUUAGGAGGAAUACCGGUGGCGAAGGCGGCCUUCUGGACCAUUCUUGACACUGAGACGCGAAAGCGUGGGGAGCAAACAGG